UGCCAGCAGCCGCGGUAAUACGGAGGGGGCAAGCGUUGUUCGGAAUUACUGGGCGUAAAGGGCGCGUAGGCGGAUAUUCAAGUCAGGGGUGAAAGGCCUGGGCUCAACCUGGGAACUGCCUUUGAAACUGGAUAUCUAGAGACCGGAAGAGGAUAGCGGAAUUCCCAGUGUAGAGGUGAAAUUCGUAGAUAUCAGGAGGAACACCGAUGGCGAAGGCAACUCUCUGGGUCGAUAUUGACGCUGAGGCGCGAAGGCGUGGGUAGCGAACGGGAUUAGAUA
rnacentral:rRNA from 1 species